rnacentral:rRNA from 3 species
AGUAACGGCGAGUGAAGCGGCAACAGCUCAAAUUUGAAAUCUGGCGUCUUUGGCGUCCGAGUUGUAAUUUGCAGAGGGCGCUUUGGCAUUGGCAGCGGUCCAAGUUCCUUGGAACAGGACGUCACAGAGGGUGAGAAUCCCGUACGUGGUCGCUAGCCUUUACCGUGUAAAGCCCCUUCGACGAGUCGAGUUGUUUGGGAAUGCAGCUCUAAAUGGGAGGUAAAUUUCUUCUAAAGCUAAAUACUGGCCAGAGACCGAUAGCGCACAAGUAGAGUGAUCGAAAGAUGAAAAGCACUUUGGAAAGAGAGUUAAAAAGCACGUGAAAUUGUUGAAAGGGAAGCGCUUGCAGCCAGACUUGCCUGUAGUUGCUCAUCCGGGUUUCUACCCGGUGCACUCUUCUAUAGGCAGGCCAGCAUCAGUUUGGGCGGUUGGAUAAAGGUCUCUGUCAUGUACCUCCUUUCGGGGAGAACUUAUAGGGGAGACGACAUGCAACCAGCCUGGACUGAGGUCCGCGCAUCUGCUAGGAUGCUGGCGUAAUGGCUGUAAGCGGCCCGUCUUGAAACACGGACCAAGGAGUCUAACAUCUAUGCGAGUGUUUGGGUGUCAAGCCCGAGCGCGUAAUGAAAGUGAACGGAGGUGGGAACCUUUCGGGGUGCACCAUCGACCGAUCCUGAUGUCUUCGGAUGGAUUUGAGUAAGAGCAUAGCUGUUGGGACCCGAAAGAUGGUGAACUAUGCUUGAAUAGGGUGAAGCCAGAGGAAACUCUGGUGGAGGCUCGCAGCGGUUCUGACGUGCAAAUCGAUCGUCAAAUUUGGGCAUAGGGGCG